UGGCACUUUGGACAUGGCCCUGGUGG
rnacentral:piRNA from 1 species